rnacentral:lncRNA from 1 species
GUUCGUCAAAAUAAAAUGGCAGUCCAAUUUUUAAUAGCAUUCUAUAAAAUAAAAAGUGCCUUCCCUGGCACCCUCCUAAAUAAUUCUCACAGUAGAGCAAGGAGGUGGACGUGAAUGGUUUCCCCAAAUUACUUACUGUGAAGGAAGUGAAGUCCUGGAGAAUUUCAGUGACGUGACGGGGUUGCACACUAGUGAGUGACCUAGAUGGAGAUGGGACAUCUUAGGUUUUCUUCCGAAAUCUUUGCUGUUCUUACUGUGCCACAGCCUUCUUAAUCACUUGAGUUACUUUCCACUGGAAUAUAUAUCCUAAUAAAGAACAAAUGAAGGGUGUCUGUAGUCAAGAAAUACCUAUUUUGUAAUUAUAUCCCUAGACACAGAGGGUUUCAAUCCGUGCCAUAGAGAGAAGUGAUCUUAUCCUCAUUCUAACUUUUUUUUUUCCUGGUCAGAAAGCACAUAUCUGUUCCUAGGUAGCUUCGUGUUUGAAAAGACAGUCUUACUCUGCUGGAUAUAAAAAGCCUUCCCCAGGGACUCUGCUGGGGUGGUACCUCGUCAGCAGCCCUGGGGCUGUGGCACAUCACGUCUCCAGGGGAAGUCAACCACCAGAGGAUCUCGAGUCCCAACCCAUAAGAGCAACGUGUCCGUGAAAGUAACUUUGCCGUGCAUGGGCUCAUUUCCUGAAGAACCCAGGAAAGCAAAGAUCCUCCCGUCACUGGAGGAGGGUCGGCAGUUAUCAUCCAUAGAGCAGGUAUGUUAUUUCCACCUAACUUUGCUGGCUUCUGGCAGCCUAUUUGCCCCCAAGGUUUUAUGAAACCCUCAGAUCUAUUACUGGAAGCAUUUUGCAGGAGAGAAUCCUGACAGAGACUAGAUCUCUCAAUCUUUCUCAGACAUGAGAAUGGAAUGAGAAUGGAAGGAAAGAAAGAAUGAAUGGAAGGCAAGAAAGACUGCCAAUUCAGGCAGCCAACAAGGUGCCUCUUCCCAUGGAAUUAGCUUGAAUUCACCACUGUGUGUUCACUGUUCCUUUGUUGGAGAGGGGGGCAAAGAGAAAACAAAACAGAUGAGUUAUUUGGUUCUACAAAAACAAAGCAAACAUUUUUUUUUUCCCAGAAACAUGCCAGUGUUUAAAAAAAAAAUAGGGAUGGAACAUGAGCCAUGAUCUGUUAACACUGUGGAAGAUUUCCUUUAUUGUCGGUACGGUUCCACCUUGGCACACUGUUUCUUCUGGGAAACAAUCUACCCAGCAACCCAUAU